GACGAACGCUGGCGGCGUGCUUAACACAUGCAAGUCGAACGGAAAGGCCCUGCUUUUGUGGGGUGCUCGAGUGGCGAACGGGUGAGUAACACGUGAGUAACCUGCCCUUGACUUUGGGAUAACUUCAGGAAACUGGGGCUAAUACCGGAUAGGAGCUCCUGCUGCAUGGUGGGGGUUGGAAAGUUUCGGCGGUUGGGGAUGGACUCGCGGCUUAUCAGCUUGUUGGUGGGGUAGUGGCUUACCAAGGCUUUGACGGGUAGCCGGCCUGAGAGGGUGACCGGCCACAUUGGGACUGAGAUACGGCCCAGACUCCUACGGGAGGCAGCAGGGGGGAAUAUUGCACAACGGGCGGAAGCCAGAUGCAGAAACGCCGCGUGCGGGAUGACGGGUUUCGGGUUGUAAACCGCUGUCGACGGUGACGAAGCGUGAGUGACGGUAAUGGGUAAAGAAGCACCGGCUAACUACGUG
rnacentral:rRNA from 1 species